GGGGGCGGGGAGAUGUGUUUCAUGCCAAGGUACUCGUCACUGUUGUGUUGGAUGGUGACAUAUUAAUCCCUUUACCUUUGAGGGGGCGGGGAGAUGUGUUUCAUGCCAAGGUACUCGUCACUGUUGUGUUGGAUGGUGACAUAUUAAUCCCUUUACCUUUGAGGGGGCGGGGAGAUGUGUUUCAUGCCAAGGUACUCGUCACUGUUGUGUUGGAUGGUGACAUAUUAAUCCCUUUACCUUUGAGGGGGCGGGGAGAUGUGUUUCAUGCCUAGGUACUCGUCACUGUUGUGU